GGGCCCGUAGCUCAGUUGGAUAGAGCACCUGCCUUCUAAGCAGGGGGUCGGCGGUUCGAAUCCGCCCGGGCCCG
rnacentral:tRNA from 1 species